UGGGGAAUAUUGCACAAUGGGCGAAAGCCUGAUGCAGCAACGCCGCGUGAGCGAUGAAGGCCUUCGGGUCGUAAAGCUCUGUCCUCAAGGAAGAUAAUGACGGUACUUGAGGAGGAAGCCCCGGCUAACUACGUGCCAGCAGCCGCGGUAAUACGUAGGGGGCUAGCGUUAUCCGGAAUUACUGGGCGUAAAGGGUGCGUAGGUGGUUUUUUAAGUCAGAAGUGAAAGGCUACGGCUCAACCGUAGUAAGCUUUUGAAACUGAAGAACUUGAGUGCAGGAGAGGAGAGUAGAAUUCCUAGUGUAGCGGUGAAAUGCGUAGAUAUUAGGAGGAAUACCAGUAGCGAAGGCGGCUCUCUGGACUGUAACUGACACUGAGGCACGAAAGCGUGGGGAGCAAACAGGAUUAGAUACCCUGGUAGUCCACGCCGUAAACGAUGAGUACUAGGUCGGUCGGGGGUUACCCCCC
rnacentral:rRNA from 1 species